UGACAAAAAACUACAUGCUAGUGUUAAAACGUUACGGCUAACGUGUUAGCAAACCUUCCUUUUGACACGGAGCUGUUUGCGUUAGCACUCAUAUGGCGUCGUUUCCCUGUCUUCCGGUCAAAUGAAACUCGGCACCAAAGGUUUAUCUUGACAAAUGCCAGCUGCAGAGGGUCACUUUAAAGAAGUGGCCUUCAGGGGCUUUCCUGCUUUUAGGAGUCAAUGUAAUGCAGCAGCUCUGACAGAGCGAAGCAACACCCCACUGGCCUUGAAGAAAGCAACCAGGAAAGGCUGUUUGGACUGGGGCCCGUUCCUCCCAAUGAUUCCAGCAGAUUUUAUGUUGAUACUUCGGCCUGAAGAUUCCAAGAGUCUGUUACAAGUAAAAGGAACAAAUUCAUAGAAAGAAAAGCUGAACUCCACUUGCCAUCUACAGUCUCCACACAGAGCUGCAAACCCAAGUUCUGCUGUGGGUUCAUCACCCAGUGGUUACUGGUGGCUGUGAUGUCAAACACUAGCCAGCCUCCAUCGGAUGCCUGGACCUUUUUGGAGUCGAGCAAGAACGUCUCGGCGUCUCUGGAGACUUUCUGCCAUUAAAUCAACCUCUCAUCAUCUGAAGGGACGUGGUUGCACAUCUGCAUUUAUUGAACAGCCAAUAGGAACGCCUUCUCUCUGAAAGGACCAGUGAUUUAAGUUUCCCUUCACGGGAUAGAUGUUCUAAAGCCUGAAGACAGAGCCAAGAGGAAUGGUAGAAGUCUAGUUUUCUCUAAAACCAUUUAAAGUACAAUAUGCUAAAAGCUUUUUAUGACAUUUUCCCCAAUGAUGCCACCCCAACAUACACACACACACAGCAUGUGUCCUUUUAAGGUUAUUUCAAAGAAAUUAUACACAUUAUUGUCAUACCCUUGCUGUCUGUUGUGAAAAUGAAACUGUUUGAAUUCCA